UACGAAGGGGGCUAGCGUUGCUCGGAAUUACUGGGCGUAAAGGGAGCGUAGGCGGAUAUUUAAGUCGGGGGUGAAAGCCCAGGGCUCAACCCUGGAACUGCCUUCGAUACUGGAUAUCUAGAGUAUGGGAGAGGUGUGUGGAACUCCGAGUGUAGAGGUGAAAUUCGUAGAUAUUCGGAAGAACACCAGUGGCGAAGGCGACUUACUGGACACAUAUUGACGCUGAGGUGUGAAAGCGUGGGGAGCAAACAGG
rnacentral:rRNA from 1 species